UUUAGAGUAGCAACAGCAGCUCCUCAUGUCAGCAUGAUGCCUAUCCCCUCCUAAAGGUAAGGGUGCCUUCUUCUAUCUCCAGCUUCACUGCUCCCUCGCUCCCCUCCUCCCAUACUAGACUUACACACACACACACACACACACACACACACACACACACACCCUCUCUCUCUAGCACACUCUCUCCAUACCCCUUCAACCCCACCCCCUGGUUAGAGCAGCUGAUUCAGCGAGUCGGCAUCCGAUGGCUGCAGCAUCUGGAAGAACUACGCCGGAGGUCAUUACAGCUCUUCACACAGUGAAGAAAAACGAAAGAGGGAGGAGUGGAGAGCUGAGGAAAGUGUGCUGCCAGCGUGUGGCUCAUCAGAUUGGGUGUGCGUGCAUGCAUGCAUGCAUGCAGGAAGAGUACAGUUUACCGUUCUGCAGCAGCGCUACAGCUAACAGAUGAAGUGACUGCAUCUCAGUGGGAUGCGCUACCGACUCAACCUUUUACAGGAAAGGCAAUACGGAAGCAGGUGAUGCUGGAACUGGGGGGAAAGUUGCUACUGUCCACAUGGAUUUCCUCGCUCCCUCUCUCAUUCUCUCUCUCUCUGUGUCUCUCUCUCUCGCUCUUAUCCUCCCUCCCUGCCUCUCACUCUCUCUCUCUCUCUCACUCACUCUCUCACUCACACUCUCUCUCUCUUUCUCUCUCUCUCUCGCAAUUCCAGCGCUGCCCAGUCUGCUGCAGCACAGCCUUCUCUAGCUCAUUAGCCACUUAUGGCUGCAGCGCAACUGAUAUCUAAUGAAGGACUUCUUAACUUAAAUCCACUCCACUACAGAGAACAGUCAUUUUUUUGGACCUCUGACUUGGACUUUUCCACUUUGCGGUACUUCAAAAUGGAAUAUAGUUUGCUGCUGGGGCACUGACACACCUUUAAAAUAGCGCUGCUAUAUUUGAAUUUUUUUUUGUGGCAGCCACCUUUCAUUUUGGGAAACCUUAUUUGGAGUUCCUGGACUCGUCCCAUCACGGUAGGGCGAAAGGUUUAUGUUAUCUGGAUAGCUCCUGAUCAAGAGACAUUGGUGUCACUGUGGGACGUGAGGUGGGGGGUUGAGAGUGGACUGACGGAAAACAGCUGUGGUGCUGUAUUAAUUCUCUUGGGUGGUGGGGUGGGAUGGCUUCACAGGGUAGCUCCUGGGUAUUUGUGUCAAGCACUAAACUGAUGACUGUCAGGAUAAUAACCCACUUUUUUGUGCAUGCUGCAGCAGCACCACCUCCACUUCCCCCACUGACUACUGGAGAGGAAACACCCCUCUUUUUUUUUUGCUUGUAUCAACGCCACGAGGCCUUGAAACCCAAAGCAAGCCCUCCCACAUUGGACCUCUCGGAUCUCUGUGACAUUUCCUAAAUGGGACGUCAUAACUCGGACCAGGGCCUUUGCGUCCAACCCCCUUUUGAAAAUAGUGGCGUCACCGGGCAGUCGACCAUUCGCGUAUCGCGCUCAGUCAUGCAACGCCAACAUAUCUAACUCUGUGAAGCACUAAAACUCAUCCAGGAUUUCCACCAGUGCCCAGAAUAGCACGUCUAAGUGCCCUUCUGUUAUUUUUCCACCCUCGUCCUGUCCUCCCGGCCUUGUGUCCGAUAGGGCUUCAGCAGGGAGGGGGGGAGAGGGGUGAAACGGGGCGGCGUUGACUUGUGGAAUGUGUGGAGCGGGAGCAAAGAUUCAUUAGAGAGUGACUGAACAUUUCACGCUAGCACGCAAACGGUUAUCGAUCUCUAGCAUCCUUAGAGCUGAACCACUGCUUCUGGAGUGCAUACAAUCAGAAGACAAAAUGGGACAUGAGUAAACUGCGCUGUAAGAAAAAGGGGAGGGCUUUGCAAAAAAAAAAAAAAAAAGGCUUUAAAAAAAAAAAAAAAAAAAAACAAAACCCUCAGUGCACCAGGGCCAAUCCGCUACUGCUGAGUGGGCAUUAGCCCUUGCAUGUGACCUCUGGCCUCGUCUGUGUACCUAAAGCCCAAAUCCCAGUCACAAUAGCUUCCUGUUCCACUUGGAUCAACCUCGUGUUCAAACAUCAGCAACCGGACUGAUAUAUGACUAGUGGAUGUGGUCAGAUGACUGCAUGGAGAUGAAGAGUGGUGAAAUGUGGGUAUGAAGGAUUGUGCCUUAAUUUCCAGGAUUUUACAAUGCAUUUCCCUCAAGGAGUACAGGAAUGAGACGGCAAGGACACCUUCCCUUGUGUCAUUCCUUUUUCAGUACUUUUUUCCAGGACAAAAGAUUGUAGUAACCUUUUUUUUUUUUGCAUCAGAAGUCCUGGGUGCUGCUGUUCUUUUCAGUUUUUUCCCUGUGGAUCCUCACAGUUCUCUAGAGGACAACCAGGGUCACUGGAGCAGACGGCACUGUGUGGACCCGUACACACUUAAUGUAUGCUGGUGAGAACAGCCAGUUCUGAUGGGUUGGGUGAGAACAAGCCGGCAGGUCUAUUUUAAAGCACUGCUCAAAGUCACCUUACGUUAUAUAGAGAGUAUUGCCAUAAGAUUGCACUGUGCAGAAUGGAAAAAAAAAAAAAAAAAAAAAGAACUACGCUUCUGGACUAACCCAGAACACAAAUGUUUGUGCUUGUAUAUCAAAUCUCUGGAAGAAAAAAAAAAAAACCUGAUGUUGCCAGAGCAAACCAAAAAAGGUAAGGACGCUGAGCUAUUCUUCGGGGUUACCUACUUGGUGUACAUACUUCUUUAUGUGCCCAUAUGAACAUAUGACAGCUAUGGAAUGUAAAGAAGUAUGUAUUCUUGGUCAGGUGCUGAUCAUCAAAUUAGGUUAUUACAGGUAAGUAUGGAGACGUUGUGUUGCUGGGUACUGAAUUCAGAAAUGCAGAGGCUGACUGCAGCACGUAUUCUGGAAGAAGUCACUGCUCCCUUUCAGAGAUUUCACCAGCAGGCCAAUCGUGCCCCUCCCUAAUAAAGCAAUUUGCAUGCUAGAUAACGUGUUGGAGCAAGACUGCUAGCAAGAAGCACAAUUUUGUUUUAUAUGGCGUGUGAUGGCUAAUUUUGGACAGGUCGUCACUGCUACAUAAGAUCAUCAAAAAGACAGUGAUUGGCGAUUUGCUGCAAUAUAGGCCUUGAAUGGUUGCCAGACGCAUCUCAGCCUGUACCUCUGCCACGGCUGAAUGAUGAAUGCCGUAAUCUUUUCCAAAGUCCCUGUAAAAAAAAAAACAAUGGAAGGGAAUUUCUAAGGUGACACUUCCAGAAAAAUGCACGGCGCUUAGCGGGAUCCCAUUGAUCCUGUUUGUUCACAUUUGCAAGGCUUGCCAAAAGCUUUGACGGGCAACAGAAGUCAGAUUAGGACAUAGAAAUGUGACAAAGCAGGAAUUUCCAGCUGUCAGCUGAUUUCUUGACAAAAAACAUGAGGCAUGUUAGAGGGACCACACAUUCUACACGCCAGAUUACGUCAUGUUUUCCGAAUAUUCCGAGUUAGCAUAAAUAUCACUGUCGUUAUGCAGCUUGGGAUUUUGAUACCUGAGGCCGUUAACUAAUCCCUGAAUUUUGUACUCCCCCCCUUGAAACUUUACGUUGUUGUCCUCAACACGAGGGCUCGACAUACUUGAUCUAUAAAGAUAAAUAGCAGGUGAGGGAGCAGAUUUAAUUGUGUUGGAGUCGGACAGCAGGGAAGAUAAUGAAGGACAACUUUCAGACAGAGUCGAUGCCUUUGGUUGUGUCUGAAACAGAAAGCAGGUGAUUCCUCUUUCUGUCACGCACUCUCCCGUCUGGUCAUUGUGAUACUUUGCUCUUUCCAAAUUUGUGCUGUUGGGUCACUGCUGUCGCUCGUGAAUCUGUGAUCCCUCCCGCCCCCUUACCCCCCUCGGCCUGACUGACAUCCACAGCAGAUGCUGACAUUAUAAAACGUUCAGCUGCCGUCCCUGGCUUUUGCCCACUUAUGGCCUGCAUAUUUGGGGGUUUGAGAGUUGCCUGGGAUGCCGUGAGCCAGGAGGGGGAUCGGCGUUGUAAAUAGCACUUCGCCGCCCGGUGCUUAACAAGUGCCAUUUUGAGCACAAGCUUUUAAAAGCAAUAUUCUUUACCGAGUACUGAAACUGUUGUCUUGAGGAAUGCACAAAUAUCAGCGUUCCUUUUCUGACAUCAGUACGACUCUCUGAGGAGUACUUUUCCUCCCCACUCUCUGUAAUUAAGCUGGAAAAUGAUCAAACCUUCGCAGUGCACCCUGGGACGCCGGUGUUGAUACGAGUAGAGAAUGUGAUGACUGUUAUGGAGCGAUGAGGACAUGUGACGAACGCCUGAGCGACACCAGGCCCCAUCCAUCAGCUGCUGUAAUUGCUACAUGAUUCCCCGACAUGGCUCAAGUGUACCAGGACAGAUUAUUAUUAUCCUUUUCUCUGGGUGCAAUUUUUCUUUCUCGGCAAAGAGCAAAGUAAAGGGGACGGCGGCUUGCCGGAGGGUGCAGGGAUGCUGAGACGUAGUGGGAAGUCAAUAACACAAUCCUGUCGCGUGUUCAGAUGGAGGGGGAGCAGAUCCCUUGAGUAACUAUCAAGUGAAAUCUUUCCACAGGAGUUUCUGUCGUCUCCGAGCUGGACCGUCUGACCAUCAGCUUUCCCACUGAGAAGCCCAAUGCUUUGCUAAAGCUGGUAAAAUGGAACCAAAUCACAUCUUCAAUGGAUUUGGUCCCCUUCAACCAGCUGUAGCUAUGCUUUGAUGACAACAGGAAUGGUUCUGGUUCUCCUAUGAUGGUGUUGUUUUCAUUUAAAUAAGUGUAUUUAUUUAUUUAUUUAUUUAUUUAUUAAAAGGUUGGGCAAUAUGACAACAUAAAACUGAUAUAGUGAUAAACUACGUCAUAAUACACUCUUCUGAUAUAUUGUGUGUAUUGUGAUAAACUCAAUUACAAUUAAUUACAACAAAAAUUUGAUUGCAAAAUGAUUGAUUUGAUUAAAAAAUUUUGAUUGAAAGCUGAUGAAGGCUGAUGAAAAGAUGCAAAAUGUUCAUUUAAUUAUCCUUUUUUACUGUUCUUUUCAGCAUCAAUUAACUUUUAAAAACAAUAAAUAAAACUAUUUUUAUACUUUAAAAAUAUUUUUCAUACUAUUGCAAACUCAUUGGAAGCAAACGAAUCUUUAAGUUAUAAAAAUGUUUAUUUAAAUGUUAACUUUUGUCAAUAAAGUGUUAAAAAACAUUUGCAAACUUUACAUGAAAUUAUUUUGCCCUAUUUUCUUUAAUGCAAGUAAACUCUCAAUCUCUGACUGAACGCAGAUGAAAAGAUGCAAGGUGUCAUUUUAAUUACAGAUUUUUAAAAUUUAUUUUUACACCUUUUCAACAUUAAUUCAGUUUUGCAAGUUUAAAUGUACACUAAUUCGUAAACCAAUUAAAACUAGUCUAGACUCUGACUGGUGUUAAUCAGUUGUUAAUUAUCGCUUUUUAAUCAGUGUUAAUUUAUUUUUGCAAACAUUAAAUAAAACAACAAAAAAAAUUACACUAUUUUUAAAACAAGUGAAACUACUGUGAACCCCGAUCUUAAUUUAAUUACAGAACAUUAAUUAUUAAUUAAUAAAUAAUUAAUUAUUAAAAAUCAUUAAUUUGGUUUGUUAAUUAUUAAUUUAUAUAUUAAUUUAUUACAAACCUUAAAUAACACUAUAAUUUUACUCUAUUAAAAAUAGAGUAAAAAAAUAGAAUAACAAUUAAAACUGGUGGAAACUGAUUCCAAGCAGAUCUUAAAUCUUUAGAUUGUAAAACGUAAAUUUAAUUAAAAAAAUAUAUUUUUGCAUUCUUUUAGUGUUAAAUCAUUUUCAUAAACAUUAAAUAAAACUUUUUUUUUUUUUUUACACAGUUUGUUUUACAUACAGUUCAAACUAUUGCAAACUCUGACUUGAAGCUGACGAAUCUUUACAUUUUCCAUUCUUGUCAAUGUUAAUUUCCACAAACAUUAAAUAAAACAGAUUUUUUUUCUAACGUGACACGAAAAUUUUGCUCAGUAUUUUUUUUUUAGCAAUAUUGUGUAUCAUAGAAAUGCUUUGUAAUAUAUUUUAGUUAUAUCGCCCAUCCCUUAAUUUAUGUCAGUAAGUAAUUGUUGUUUGUACUUUACAGAAAUAUCUUUCCUUUCCAGAAAUAAUAAUAAAAAAACCUCUACAGCUCA